CCCGCACAAGCGGUGGAGCAUGUGGUUAAUUCGACGCAACGCGAAGAACCUUACCAGGGCUUGACAUCCCCUGACCGCGUAUGAAAGUACGUUUUCACCCUCGGGUGACAGGGAGACAGGUGGUGCAUGGUUGUCGUCAGCUCGUGUCGUGAGAUGUUGGGUUAAGUCCCGCAACGAGCGCAACCCCUACGUUAGUUGCUAACGCGUGAAGGCGAGCACUCUAGACGAACUGCCGUUGACAAAACGGAGGAAGGUGGGAUGACGUCAAAUCAUCAUGCCCCUUAUGUUCUGGGCUACACACGUGCUACAAUGGCCGGUACAGACGGAGGCGAAGCCGCGAGGCGGAGCAAAUCCGAAAAAGCCGGUCUCAGUUCGGAUUGCAGGCUGCAAUUCGCCUGCAUGAAGUCGGAAUCGCUAGUAAUCGCAGGUCAGCAUACUGCGGUGAAUACGUUCCCGGGCCUU
rnacentral:rRNA from 1 species